ensembl:lncRNA novel transcript
GUGUCACUGCACUCCAGCCUGAGCAACAGAGUGAGCCUCUGUCUCUAAACAAUAAAAAAUAAAUGUUUGGCUUAAUAAAUUAUAUUUUGAUGUGGCUGUCAACUUGGGGCUACAGAAUAAGGAAAUACAUCAGUGGGUGGAAGGAGGAGUCUCUACAAAUCUCUGGAAAGGAAAAGUCAUGAAAUAAUAGGUGGGAAACUGGAAAAUGGGUGUUUAAAGAGAAAAAGGAACAUUUUCUUCUUCCUUGGCCUUGGUUUCAAAAAGUCAAGCUGUGCUCAGGGAUGUGUGUGGGUAGAGAAGACGAGAAAUAUAGUCAGGCAACCCUGCAGAACCGUGAGCUCCUUCUCCUCUUCCAGGAUUCUGGGAAGAUGAGGUGGCCUACAGGACCAAGAGACCAAAGCUGUAUCGAGAACCAGAGUUCCCUCUGUUGCCAGUGUCAGUAAGGAAUUCCUCCAUGGGAGUUCCACACUUGAAUAGAGGUUAUGUAAGUGAACAUCACAUAAGAAGAAACAAUCAUACUACAGAAGGUUUUUCUUCACCUUUUUGGUAGCCUGUUUAAAAAACAAAACUUUUAUAUGCUUCAUUCAGGACAUAGGCAUGGGCAAAGACUUCAAGACUAAAACACCAAAAGCAAUGGCAACAAAAGCCAAUAUUGACAAAUGGAAUCUAAUUAAGCUAAAGAGCUUCUGCACUGCAAAAGAACCUAUCAUCAGAGUGAACAGGUAACCUACAGAAUGGGAGAAAAUUUUUGCAAUCUAUCCAUCUGACAAAGGGCUAAUAUCCAGAAUCUAUAAUGAACUUAAACAAAUUUACAAGAAAAAAACAAACAACCCCAUCAAAAAGUGGGCAAAGGAUAUGAACAGACACUUCUCAAAAGAAGACAUUUAUGCGGCCAACAAAUAUAUGAAAAAAAGCUCAUCAUCACUGGUCAUUAGAGAAAUGCAAAUCAAAACCACAAUGAGAUACCCUCUCAUGCCAGUUAGAAUGGCGAUCAUUAAAAAGUCAGGAAACAACAGAUGCUGGAGAGGAUGUGGAGAAAUAGGAAUGCUUUUACACUGUUGGUGGGAGUGUAAAUUAGUUCAACCACUGUGGAAGACAGUGGGGUGAUUCCUCAAGGAUUAGAACCAGAAAUACCAUCUGACCCAGCAAUCCCAUUAUCGCGUAUAUACUCAAAGGAUUAUAAAUCAUUCUACUAUAAAGACACAUGCACACGUAUGUCUACUGCAGCACUAUUCACAAUAGUAAAGACUUGGAACCAACCCAAAUGUCCAUCAGUGAUAGACUGGAUAGAGAAAAUGUGGCACAUAUACACCAUGGAAUACUAUGGAGCCAAAAAAAAGGAUGAGUUCAUGUCUUUGCAGGGACAUGGAUGAAGCUGGAAACCAUCACUCUCAACAAACUAACACAGGAACAGAAAACCAAACACCACAUGUUCUCACUCAUAAGUGGGAGUUGAACAAUGAGAACACAGGGAGGGGAACAUCAUACACUGGGGCCUAUUGGUAGGUGGGGGGCUAGGGGAGGGAUAGCAUUAGGAGAAGUACCUAAUGUAGAUGACAGGUUGAUGGAUGCAGCAAACCACCAUGGCACAUGUAUACCUAUGUAACAAACCUGCAUGUUC